AGAUUGAACGCUGGCGGCAUGCCUUACACAUGCAAGUCGAACGGCAGCACGGGGGCAACCCUGGUGGCGAGUGGCGAACGGGUGAGUAAUGCAUCGGAACGUGCCCAGUAGUGGGGGAUAACUAGUCGAAAGAUUAGCUAAUACCGCAUACGACCUAUGGGUGAAAGCGGGGGAUUCGCAAGAACCUCGCGCUAUCGGAGCGGCCGAUGUCUGAUUAGCUAGUUGGCGGGUAAAAAGCCCACCAAGGCUUCGAUCAGUAGCUGGUCUGAGAGGACGACCAGCCACGACUGGGACUGAGACACGGCCCAGACUCCUACGGGAGCAGCAGUGGGGAAUUUGGACAAGUGGGCGCAAGCCUAGAUCCAGCCAUCGCGCGUGGCGGGAAGAGGCCUUACGGGUUGUAAACGU
rnacentral:rRNA from 1 species